UACAGAGGGUGCGAGCGUUAAUCGGAAUUACUGGGCGUAAAGCGUGCGUAGACGGUAGCGUAAGUCAGAUGUGAAAGCCCCGGGCUCAACCUGGGAACUGCAUUUGAGACUGCUCUGCUCGGGUGCGGAAGAGGGAAGCGGAAUUUCCGGUGUAGCGGUGAAAUGCGUAGAGAUCCGGAGGAACACCAAAGGCGAAGGCAGUGUCCUGGGGAGUACCUGACGCUCAGGUGCGAAAGCCAGGGGAGCGAACGGG
rnacentral:rRNA from 1 species